GCCCCCGUAGCCCAAUGGUAGAGGCGAACCCUUUAAAAGGGUUAGGUUGUCGGUUCAAAUCCGACCGGGGGUA
rnacentral:tRNA from 1 species